GAUGAACGCUGGCGGCGUGCCUAAUACAUGCAAGUCGAGCGAACGGACGAGAAGCUUGCUUCUCUGAUGUUAGCGGCGGACGGGUGAGUAACACGUGGAUAACCUGCCUAUAAGACUGGGAUAACUUCGGGAAACCGGAGCUAAUACCGGAUGAUAUUUUGAACCGCAUGGUUCAAAAGUGAAAGACGGUCUUGCUGUCACUUAUAGAUGGAUCCGCGCUGCAUUAGCUAGUUGGUAAGGUAACGGCUUGCCAAGGCAACGAUGCAUAGCCGACCUGAGAGGGUGAUCGGCCACACUGGAACUGAGACACGGUCCAGACUCCUACGGGAGGCAGCAGUAGGGAAUCUUCCGCAAUGGGCGAAAGCCUGACGGAGCAACGCCGCGUGAGUGAUGAAGGUCUUCGGAUCGUAAAACUCUGUUAUUAGGGAAGAACAUAUGUGUAAGUAACUGUGCACAUCUUGACGGUACCUAAUCAGAAAGCCACGGCUAACUACGUG
rnacentral:rRNA from 1 species